GGUUACCUUGUUACGACUUCACCCCAGUCAUGAAUCCUACCGUGGUAAGCGGCCCCCUUGCGGUUAGCCUACCUACUUCUGGUAGAACCCACUCCCAUGGUGUGACGGGCGGUGUGUACAAGACCCGGGAACGUAUUCACCGCGACAUGCUGAUCCGCGAUUACUAGCGAUUCCGACUUCAUGCAGUCGAGUUGCAGACUGCAAUCCGGACUACGACCGGCUUUUAUGGGGAUUGGCUCCAGCUCGCGCUUUGGCAACCCUCUGUACCGGCCAUUGUAUGACGUGUGAAGCCCUACCCAUAAGGGCCAUGAGGACUUGACGUCAUCCCCACCUUCCUCCGGUUUGUCACCGGCAGUCUCCCUAGAGUGCCCUUGCGUAGCAACUAGGGACAAGGGUUGCGCUCGUUGCGGGACUUAACCCAACAUCUCACGACACGAGCUGACGACAGCCAUGCAGCACCUGUGCAAGCUGGUAUUGCUACCUCGUCCCACUUUCAUGGUUCUACUACUUGCAUGUCAAGGCCAGGUAAGGUUCUUCGCGUUGCAUCGAAUUAAGCCACAUACUCCACCGCAUGUGCAGGCCCCCGUCAAUUUCUUUGAGUUUUAAUCUUGCGACCGUACUUCCCAGGCGGCGUAUUUAACGCGUUGGCUACGCCACAAAAGGGGUCGAUUCCUUUUACAGCAAAUACGCACCGUUUACGGCUAGGACUACCAGGGUAUCUAAUCCUGUUUGCUCCCCUAGCUUUCGUGCCUCAGUGUCAGGAGUUUUCCAGGGACUCGCCUUCGCCACUGGUGUUCUACUUGAUAUCUACGCAUUUCACUGCUACACCAAGUAUUCCAGUCCCCCCUCAAACCCUCGAGCAAGGUAGUUUCCAAUGCCAUUUCCGAGUUGAGCUCGGAGCUUUCACAUCCGACUUACCUCACCACCUACGCACCCUUUACGCCCAGUGAAUCCGAACAACGCUUGGGACCUCUGUAUUACCGCGGCUGCUGGCACAGAGUUAGCCGUCCCUUCCUCUUUCGCUACAAUCAGCUCGCCAUCUUUUAAAUAGCAAGGUUUGUUCGCAAAUGACAGGGGUUUACGGGCCGAAGCCAUUCAUCCCCCACGCGGCGUCGCUCCAUCAGGCUUUCGCCCAUUGUGAAAAAUUCUCGACUGCUGCCACCCGUAGGUGUCUGGACCGUGUCUCAGUUCCAGUGUGGCUGGUCGUCCUCUCAGACCAGCUACCCGUCUUAGCCUUGGUGAGCCGUUACCUCACCAACUAGCUGAUAGGCCGCGGGCUUAUCAAAAAGCGUCAGGCCUUACGGUCCCCAACUUUAAUCAUCAAACGAUGCCGCCCGAUGAUCACAUCCGGUAUUAGCUCGCCUUUCAGCGAGUUAUCCCAAACUUUUUGGCAAAUUACCCACGUGUUACGCACCCUUGCGCCGCUCCCACUCGGCUACAUUGCUGCAACCGAAUGAGCGCUCGACUUGCAUGUCUUAUCCACGCCGCCAGCGUUCGUUCUGAGCCAGGAUCAAACUCU
rnacentral:rRNA from 1 species